rnacentral:rRNA from 1 species
UACGUAGGGUGCAAGCGUUAAUCGGAAUUACUGGGCGUAAAGCGUGCGCAGGCGGUUCGGAAAGAGAGGUGUGAAAUCCAAGGGCUUAACCUUGGAACUGUACUUCUAACUACCGGGCUAGAGUACGUCAGAGGGGGGUAGAAUUCCACGUGUAGCAGUGAAAUGCGUAGAGAUGUGGAGGAAUACCGAUGGCGAAGGCAGCCCCCUGGGAUGAUACUGACGCUCAUGCACGAAAGCGUGGGGAGCAAACAGG